AUGUACAUAGUUUUUUUUUUUUUUUUAUUAGGAAGUUUAUGUAUGCACAAACAUAUAUAUUACAACAAAUUAUCUUAUUUAAUUUUUUUUUUUUUUUUUUUUUUUUUUUUUUUUGUAGUGUAUAACUCACACAUAAAUUGUAAUAGCUUACAUCCUGACUAUUCAGGUAACGAUCAUAUAAACUUUUCUGCCUCAUAUCAUAAAAUUGCAGGAGAAAAUAAUUAUAAAAAUUUGGAUUUAAACAAAGUUAUUGCGAACAGUAUAUACGAAAGUAUUCAAAACAACAUCAACUAUUUAAAAAAAGUAAACAAAGCAAAAAAAUAUUUUUUUACAAUUUUUAUACAUGCAUUUUAUAUAGUAAAAGUUUUUAUGACUACUUAUAUAACUAAUAACUUUAUUAAAAAAAAUUCGUUUGCAUUGUUUGU
rnacentral:lncRNA from 1 species